GACGAACGCUGGCGGCGUGCUUAACACAUGCAAGUCGAACGGAAAGGCCCUUUCGGGGGUACUCGAGUGGCGAACGGGUGAGUAACACGUGGGUGAUCUGCCCUGCACUUUGGGAUAAGCCUGGGAAACUGGGUCUAAUACCGGAUAGGACUACGCGAUGCAUGUCGUGUGGUGGAAAGCUUUUGCGGUGUGGGAUGGGCCCGCGGCCUAUCAGCUUGUUGGUGGGGUGAUGGCCUACCAAGGCGACGACGGGUAGCCGGCCUGGGGGGGUGUCCGGCAACACUGGGGGUGAGAUACGGCCCAGACUCCUACGGGAGGCAGCAGUGGGGAAGAUUGCACAAUGGUGGCAAGCCUGAUGCAGCGACGCCGCGUGAGGGAUGACGGCCUUCGGGUUGUAAACCUCUUUCAAUAGGGACGAAGCGCAAGUGACGGUACCUAUAGAAGAAGCACCGGCCAACUACGUGCCAGCAGCCGCUGUAAGAC
rnacentral:rRNA from 1 species